UACAGAGGUCCCAAGCGUUGUUCGGAUUCAUUGGGCGUAAAGGGUGCGUAGGCGGCGCGGUAAGUCGGGGUGUGAAAUCUCGGAGCUUAACUCCGAAACUGCAUUCGAUACUGCCGUGCUUGAGGACUGGAGAGGAGACUGGAAUUUACGGUGUAGCGGUGAAAUGCGUAGAUAUCGUAAGGAAGACCAGUGGCGAAGGCGGGUCUCUGGACAGUUCCUGACGCUGAGGCACGAAGGCCAGGGGAGCAAACGGG
rnacentral:rRNA from 1 species